rnacentral:rRNA from 1 species
UACGUAGGUGGCAAGCGUUGUCCGGAAUUAUUGGGCGUAAAGCGCGCGCAGGUGGUUUAAUAAGUCUGAUGUGAAAGCCCACGGCUCAACCGUGGAGGGUCAUUGGAAACUGUUAAACUUGAGUGCAGGAGAGAAAAGUGGAAUUCCUAGUGUAGCGGUGAAAUGCGUAGAGAUUAGGAGGAACACCAGUGGCGAAGGCGACUUUCUGGUCUGUGAUUGACGCUGAGGCUCGAAAGCGUGGGUAGCAAACAGG